rnacentral:rRNA from 1 species
GACAGAGGGUGCAAACGUUGUUCGGAAUUACUGGGCGUAAAGCGCGUGUAGGCGGCCCGGCAAGUCGGAUGUGAAAGCCCUCGGCUCAACCGAGGAAGUGCAUUCGAAACUGCCGGGCUAGAGUCCUGGAGAGGAUAGUGGAAUUCUCGGUGUAGAGGUGAAAUUCGUAGAUAUCGAGAGGAACACCGGUGGCGAAGGCGGCUAUCUGGACGGUGACUGACGCUGAGACGCGAAAGCGUGGGGAGCAAACAGG